rnacentral:rRNA from 1 species
GAUGAACGCUGGCGGCGUGCCUAAUACAUGCAAGUAGAACGCUGAAGGAGGAGCUUGCUCUUCUGGAUGAGUUGCGAACGGGUGAGUAACGCGUAGGUAACCUGCCUGGUAGCGGGGGAUAACUAUUGGAAACGAUAGCUAAUACCGCAUGACAACAGUUAUUGCAUGAUAACUGUUUAAAAGGGGCAACUGCUCCACUACCAGAUGGACCUGCGUUGUAUUAGCUAGUUGGUGAGGUAACGGCUCACCAAGGCGACGAUACAUAGCCGACCUGAGAGGGUGAUCAGCCACACUGGGACUGAGACACGGCCCAGACUCCUACGGGAGGCAGCAGUAGGGAAUCUUCGGCAAUGGACGGAAGUCUGACCGAGCAACGCCGCGUGAGUGAAGAAGGUUUUCGGAUCGUAAAGCUCUGUUGUAAGAGAAGAACGAGUGUGAGAGUGGAAAGUUCACACUGUGACGGUAUCUUAGCAGAAAGGGACGGCUAACUACGUG